rnacentral:rRNA from 1 species
UACGUAGGGUGCAAGCGUUAAUCGGAAUUACUGGGCGUAAAGCGUGCGCAGGCGGUUUUGUAAGUCAGAUGUGAAAUCCCCGGGCUUAACCUGGGAACUGCGUUUGAAACCACAAGGCUAGAGUGUAGCAGAGGGGGGUGGAAUUCCACGUGUAGCAGUGAAAUGCGUAGAGAUGUGGAGGAACACCGAUGGCGAAGGCAGCCCCCUGGGUUAACACUGACGCUCAGGCACGAAAGCGUGGGGAGCAAACAGG